AUUGAACGCUGGCGGCAGGCCUAACACAUGCAAGUCGAACGAGGGGCGGAGGGGAGUGUAAUGUCUGGGACACUGCCAGAUGGAGGGGGAUAACUACUGGACACGGUCGCUAAUAGCGCAUCCUACCGGAUGUGCACAGAUGGGAUUGGCGAGUAGGUGGGGUAACGGCUCACCUAGGCGACGAUCCCUAGCUGGUCUGAGAGGGUGACCAGCCACACUGGAACUGAGACACGGUCCAGACUCCUACGGGAGGCAGCAGUGGGGAAUAUUGCGCAAUGGGCGCAAGCCUGAUGCAGCCAUGCCGCGUGUGUGAAGAAGGCCUUCGGGUUGUAAAGUACUUUCAGCGAGGAGGCGUUACUCGCAGAAGAAGCACCGGCUAACUCCGUGCCAGCAGCCGCGGUAAUUC
rnacentral:rRNA from 1 species